GUCGCGGUACACGCAAGGGAGCCGAAGGGACCGAGGACGAACGGAGGAGCAGAGAACGUCCGUUACAGAGCGGGGUGAGGACGUUGGCUCUGCAGGUCGAGAGAGACGGGAGGUUUGUGGAGUCUGACAGGGGUGAAGAUGAUGGAGGACCGGGAGCGUCUCCUUUCUGAGGAAUGGAUGAGACCACCGGCUGCCUGCUGGGGAUACGAUGCUCUCCAGAGAGCCCUGGUUCUGAUCUUGCUGCAGGUUGAGGGCAGCAGUGAAGUCUCUCUUGCUGGGGACUGGCCUGAAUAUGUGAGCGCUCCCUGUUUUUGUGUGCUCUUCCUGCAUGUUUGGGGAUGGAGAAGGAUACCAUGUGGCCUGAGGUCCUGGUGCAGCUGGGCUCUUCUGAGGACUUCAGAGGUGGAAGUGAAGCUGACCUGAGAGG